rnacentral:lncRNA from 1 species
UAUAGAAAAAAAUAAGAGAUCAGAUCUCUUAUUCUUCUUUCAUAUCCAACCCUUGGACUAGAUCUGAAGAGAGAAAGAGGAGAACCAUCUAUCUCAUGAACCAAAAAAAUUAAAUUAGAUCAAAUCUAAUUUAAUCAUGUCCAACCAUUAGACAUCUUUGGAGGAGAGGGAGAAGGAGACAUGUCCAACUCUUGGAUAAGGGAGA